rnacentral:lncRNA from 1 species
GCGCUACUUGGCAUGGGAAGUUCACAACUGCAGCUGUGUGUCCACUCCAAGACAAGGAUAAGCAGUGAAUGAAUCCAGCAGUGAAUCACCCAGAGCUGUAUCUGGUCAACAUCUGAAGAAACCUUUGAAUGUCUGGGUUCCCUGAAUGGCACAUCCUUUCCAGGAACCUGUUCAGUGAUACCCUUGGAUGUCGGAGAUGUGGAAGGUGUUCAAGGCCAGAAGGUGCUGAGCUUAAUAUUCACUCUUGAGUGUUGCAGAGAUAACGUGUCAAAAAGCCUUCCAGAGGGGAAGCAUGCCUUAUUCUUUGAUACCAGAACAUUCUACAGGACAGGUUAAUUUGAGAGAAGUUAUUUAGAAGAGAAACUGGUGUGAAAAGCACCUGCAGGCCUUAGGAUUUCAG